rnacentral:rRNA from 1 species
ACGCUCGACACCUACGGGAGGCAGCAGUGGGGAAUAUUGCACAAUGGGGGAAACCCUGAUGCAGCGACGCCGCGUGAAGGAAGAAGUAUCUCGGUAUGUAAACUUCUAUCAGCAGGGAANAAAAUGACGGUACCUGACUAAGAAGCCCCGGCUAACUACGUGCCACAGCCGCGGUAAUCUGAGCGGCUGGCAAGGC